UAAUAAAACCCGCAAAGAGGAUAUGCGCUAACAUAUCCUCUUCGACAGAGCCGUUUAAGACGGUAACUAGUUUAUUUUAAGAGUAACUA
rnacentral:sRNA from 1 species